GACGUAGGGGGCGAGCGUUGUCCGGAUUUAUUGGGCGUAAAGGGCUCGUCGGCGGUUUGGCAAGUCGGAUGUGAAAACUCCAGGCUUAACCUGGAGAUGCCAUUCGAUACUGCUAUGACUUGAGUUCGGUAGGGGCGCAUGGAAUACCCGGUGUAGCGGUGAAAUGCUUAGAUAUCGGGUGGAACACCAGUGGCGAAGGCGGUGCGCUGGGCCGAAACUGACGCUGAUGAGCGAAAGCGUGGGUAGCAAACAGG
rnacentral:rRNA from 1 species